rnacentral:rRNA from 1 species
AACGUAGGUGGCGAGCGUUAUCCGGAUUUACUGGGCGUAAAGCGUGUGCAGGUGGGUUGCCAAGUGGUGUAUGAAAUCUCUCAGCUUAACUGAGAGCGGUUAUGCCAGACUGACAGCCUAGAGUACGAGAGAGGGACGUGGAAUUCCGGGUGUAGUGGUAGAAAUGCGUAGAGAUCCGGAGGAACCCCAGAGGCGAAGGCGGCGUCCUGGCUCGGAUACUGACACUCAGACACGGACAGCAUGGGGGAGCGAACGGG